ACGAACGCUGGCGGCGUGCCUCAUACAUGCAAGUAGAACGCUGAAGAGAGGAGCUUGCUCUUCUUGGAUGAGUUGCGAACGGGUGAGUAACGCGUAGGUAACCUGCCUUGUAGCGGGGGAUAACUAUUGGAAACGAUAGCUAAUACCGCAUAACAAUGGAUGACCCAUGUCAUUUAUUUGAAAGGGGCAAAUGCUCCACUACAAGAUGGACCUGCGUUGUAUUAGCUAGUAGGUGAGGUAACGGCUCACCUAGGCGACGAUACAUAGCCGACCUGAGAGGGUGAUCGGCCACACUGGGACUGAGACACGGCCCAGACUCCUACGGGAGGCAGCAGUAGGGAAUCUUCGGCAAUGGGGGCAACCCUGACCGAGCAACGCCGCGUGAGUGAAGAAGGUUUUCGGAUCGUAAAGCUCUGUUGUAAGUCAAGAACGAGUGUGAGAGUGGAAAGUUCACACUGUGACGGUAGCUUACCAGAAAGGGACGGCUAACUACGUG
rnacentral:rRNA from 1 species